GUAUAAAUUUCUAAGCAAGAUCAAUAAUUAAAUCAAUAAGUAUUGGAGUUCUAAGCUAAAUUGGAAUUAAUUUGAAUUAGUAAGAUAUCGGUUAGAAUUUGGUUUAGAGUUUAGGAUUUGUUUAGGAUUUGGUUUAGAAUUUAAGAUUUUUUUAAAAUUUGAUUUAGGAUUUAGAAUUAAUUUAAGACUUAGAGUUUAUCUAAGAUUUGAUUUAAGAUUUAGAAUUUAAAAUUUUUCUAAGAUUUGGUUUAGGAUUCAAGAUUUUGUAAGGAUUUGACCUUGAAU
rnacentral:lncRNA from 1 species